UAAAAAAAUCAUUUUUUUCUGGUUUAGUAUAAAAGCUACUGCUGGUAAAAGAAUUUCAUUCCUUUAUAUAGAAAUAAGGAAAAUGGAAGUAUGGAAAUACAGGUUUCUGAGUUUCUUUAUUCUGUUUGUUUCCUUUGAGUUUUAGAAUAUUUUGAGUGCUAAGAAAAUGAAAGUUGGCCUUUUGUUUCUUUUGGCAGCUAGGAGCAGUGACCAGUGAGAUGGGAGGGUAGAGAUAUUAAACUUACACUAUAACUAAUAGCUCUUUUGCAUUAAAGCAGAUAAGAUAGCUGGAGAGGAAUAACAAUAACAAGAUUUAAAAUAAAUUUCACAUAUUUUGAAAGUGCUAUUAGUAAAGUAUUAGUACCUCUUUAUUGCCAUAGCAAAUGCUAAAUUCAUUUGCAACAGCUUCAUUAAUCUAAAUCUAGACAGUUUCAUCAAGAAAGAAUCUUAAACUUGCAGGGAUUAGAUUUGUAUUUAGUAAUGAUUUUUUUCCUGUUGUUGUAAACCUGUAGUGCUGCAUUCCUAAGUUCAGGAGGCAUAAUAAUAAGAAACUCUUUUCUAAUCGAGGGAAUGCCUGUUUCAAUGUUUGCUGAUUUUAUAGUGCUUCCUUAUAUUUCCUUUCACUUAAAGAAAGUGUAGAUUAAAGUAUUUAGACAAGAAUUAGAUCUUGUUGUUUGGUGCCAGUAGUAUAGGAUUUAUUACACAUAUUACAAUUAAUAGCAGUCAAUGUGUUUUAAAUUUUUGUUGUAUUUUGUGUGAUUCCAUGUGUGAAUUCGCAAUGCCAUUCACAAUAUGGUAAACUCCACAUUUUAGAACAAAAAUUUUGUUUCCUAUGAUUGUACUAGUAUUUUUUGACAAUGAUUAUAUGAAAUACUUAUGGGUUUGACAUAGUGAAAAGUGGGCUAAACAUGAACCCUACUUACUGGGUUUGUGGUAUACAUUUAAAAGUCAUAGAAACCAUAAAGAUAGAGGCCAGCUGAAAUAUACUCAAAAAGAAAGUGAAAUUCUUUAUUUUUUUCUACAUUAGUAUAUUUUAUUCAGUAUGGAUCCUUUUAUUUUUAAAUGCUUUUUUUCAUCUGUGUGUAUACUAUCCUUAACAACCAGAAAUACUGAUAUCACUAGAAUCCGUGUUUUGUUUCUAUUUUUUUUUAUGGUAGUGAUAGUUUUUUAUUGAACCAUAUGCUUUCUUGGUCAGAACUAUGAAUUGGUAAGACAGUCACUGAUUAUAGCAUGCAAACUAUAGCCAUGAAGCAGUAUUUUCUCAUUGCAAAUCCUUAUCAAGAGUGGGGUUGAACACUUGAUCCUGACCUCAUUAAUUGUAUAUUCUAGUCAGUGGUGUCAAUUGGCCUAUCCAGUGACAUAAAAUUUUUGUCACAUCUCUAUUCCCUAAUGAUCAACUGUCUAUGGAGCUACAUUAUGAUACCAUACUGUAAAAGCUGUGAUUAAAAACAACACAAGAAAACGUGAAUUACAUUUCCAUCUUUGGCAUUAAUCGGAUUUUUUUUUUAUUACUGUAGACAAGUUUCAACUUUUCUAGGUUUCAGUUUCUUUAAUUUUGAUGAGAGAAACUUUUCCUACUUCUGACAUUUUAUGAAAUUUGUUACCCCUUUAUAUGACAUAGAUUAAAUUUUUAUUUAGUAACAUUUAGAGUCAAAAAUUCUUUGUAUGCCAUUAAGUUGUAUCUAUUUUCAGGGCCUUUAAAUUUAAAAAUGCACAGGUGGCUUCACUAUUCGAGUCACUAUAUAUAUGUAUUGGUGGCUCUGGAAUGCAAAACAAACAAAAUAAAACAGUUUUUUAUAGUAUACAUUUUGGACUAUAUUUAUUAAGCAUUCAUCUCUGCUUCCUCUCAACUUAUAGAAUAUGGCAUUUACUAAGUUACUUAACUUCUGAAUGUCAAUUGCCUCACCUAUAAACAGCAAUAAUAUCUCACCUGCUUAAUAUGAAAAUCAAUGAUAGGAUAUACGUUAAUGUUUUUGAAAAUUACAAAGCACGGUGCAAAGGAAAUACAUUAAUAAAUGUAAUUUAUAAAACCAC